rnacentral:rRNA from 1 species
UACGAAGGGGACUAGCGUUGUUCGGAAUCACUGGGCGUAAAGCGCACGUAGGCGGAUGUGUCAGUCAGGGGUGAAAUCCCGGGGCUCAACCUCGGAACUGCCUUUGAUACAGCACGUCUCGAGUCCGGAAGAGGUGGGUGGAAUUCCUAGUGUAGAGGUGAAAUUCGUAGAUAUUCGCAAGAACACCAGUGGCGAAGGCGGCUCACUGGCCCGGUACUGACGCUGAGGUGCGAAAGCGUGGGGAGCGAACAGG